rnacentral:piRNA from 1 species
UGAAUGUUACAUCUUGGAACCUGAGC